rnacentral:rRNA from 1 species
AACGAACGCUGGCGGCAGGCUUAACACAUGCAAGUCGAGCGCCCCGCAAGGGGGGCGGCAGCCGGGUGGGUAACGCGUGGGAACGUACCUUUUGGUUCGGAACAACUCCGGGAAACUGGAGCUACUACCGGAUAAGCCCUAACGGGGAAAGAUUUAUCGCCGAAAGAUCGGCCCGCGUCUGAUUAGCUAGUUGGUGAGGUAACGGCUCACCAAGGCGACGAUCAGUAGCUGGUCUGAGAGGAUGAUCAGCCACACUGGGACUGAGACACGGCCCAGACUCCUACGGGAGGCAGCAGUGGGGAAUAUUGGACAAUGGGCGCAAGCCUGAUCCAGCCAUGCCGCGUGAGUGAUGAAGGCCUUAGGGUUGUAAAGCUCUUUUGUCCGGGAAGAUAAUGACUGUACCGGAAGAAUAAGCCCCGGCUAACUUCGUG